rnacentral:rRNA from 1 species
UACAGAGGGUGCAAGCGUUAAUCGGAUUUACUGGGCGUAAAGGGCUCGUAGGCGGCCAACUAAGUCAUACGUGAAAUCCCUCGGCUUAACCGGGGAACUGCGUCUGAUACUGGAUGGCUUGAGAUUGGGAGAGGGAUGCGGAAUUCCAGGUGUAGCGGUGAAAUGCGUAGAUAUCUGGAGGAACACCGGUGGCGAAGGCGGCAUCCUGGACCAACACUGACGCUGAGGAGCGAAAGCCAGGGGAGCAAACGGG